GACAGAGGUGCCAAGCGUUAGGCGGAAUCACUGGGCUUAAAGCGUGUGUAGGCGGACCCGUCAGUACCUUGUGAAAUCCCACGGCUCAACCGUGGAACUGCUCGGUAUACUGCGGGUCUUGAGCCACUUAGGGGCUGUCGGAACAAACGGUGGAGCGGUGAAAUGCGUAGAGAUCGGGAGGAACACCAGAGGCGAAGGCGGCGACCUGGACAGACACUGACACUCAACUGCGAAAGCGUGGGGAGCAAACAGG
rnacentral:rRNA from 1 species